rnacentral:rRNA from 1 species
CCCGCUGAACUUAAGCAUAUCAAUAAGGCGAGGAACAGAAACCAACUGGGAUUCCCUCAGUAGUGGCGAAUGAAGCGGGAAAAGCUCAAGUUUGAAAUCCGGAGGGGCGACCCCCGGAGUUGUAAGCUGAAGAAGGCUUCGACCGACGUGGCCCGGGCCCAAUUUCCUUGGAACAGGAGGUCAUGGAGGGUGAGAACCCCGUCCGUGGCUCGGGCGUCGCCGUCCUUGUGUCGUGCCCUCGAAGAGUCGGGUUGUUUGGGAAUGCAGCUCAAAAUGGGUGGUAAAUUUCAUCUAAGGCUAAAUAUUGGCGAGAGACCGAUAGCAAACAAGUAGAGUGAUCGAAAGAUGAAAAGUACUUUGAAAAGAGAGUGAAACAGUACGUGAAAUUGUUGAAAGGGAAGCGUUUGGCAUCAGCCCAUGGCGCCCAUCGAUCAUCCGGGCUCUAGCCCGGUGCACGUGUCGGGCGUCGGGCCAACGUCGGCUCCGACCGUGGGAGAAAGGUGUGGGGGAUGUGGUUCCCUUCGGGGAGCGUUAUAACCCCAUGCGUCACGCCACGGGACGGGGCCGAGGUCCGCGGUUCUUCCUAGGACGCUGGCUUAAUGGUUCCAAGCGACCCGUCUUGAAACACGG